rnacentral:sRNA from 1 species
UACCCAUUCAAGUAGGUACUGGCUAUCAGGCUCCAGCCUUGCAUCAUUGAGCUUCCUACCACCUAUUAUUUCUAAAGUGACUACACCAAAGCCGUAUGUGUCAACCUUCUCUGAGAGUUGCCCAUGGAUGGCAUACUCAGGAGCUGUGUAACCCCUGCUUAAGUAAACAUAAUUAGAAACACAACAUAUGCCCUUAAAACGAUAUUUUCAUCUUCAAACUUACAAUGUUCCUGCAAAAUUAGUGCUGAGAUGACUAUGAUCAUCAGGUAUGAGCCUUGCUAAACCGAAAUCAGCAAUCUUUGGUUGAAACUCGUCAUCAAGAAGAACAUUGCUAGAUUUAAUGUCACGGUGUAUGAUGCGCACAUGGAAUUCUUCAUGAAGAUAUGCAAGGCCACGAGCCAUGCCGAUAAUGAUAUUAAAUCGCUGCUUCCAAUUGAGGGCGACACUUUUCUCGCCUAUAACAACAAAAAUGAGGCCAUUGCCAAA